AGAGUUUGAUCAUGGCUCAGAGCGAACGCUGGCGGCGUGCUUAACACAUGCAAGUCGAACGCGCAGUUUGGUGUAGCAAUACACUGGAUGGGCGCGUGGCGAACGGGUGCGUAACACGUGGAUAACCUUCCUUCUGGUGGGGAAUAACCCCGUGAAAACGGGGCUAAUACCGCAUAACAUUGCGAGGGCGCAUGCUCUUGCAUUCAAAGGCGCAAGUCGCCGGAAGAGGGAUCCGCGGCCGAUUAGCUAGUUGGCGAGGUAAUGGCUCACCAAGGCGAUGAUCGGUAGCCGGACUGAGAGGUUGGCCGGCCACACUGGAACUGAGACACGGUCCAGACUCCUACGGGAGGCAGCAGUGGGGAAUCUUGCGCAAUGGGCGAAAGCCUGACGCAGCAACGCCGCGUGGGGGAUGAAGCUUCUCGGAGUGUAAACCCUUUUCGACCGGGACGAAUGCCCGCAAGGGCUUGACGGUACCGGUAUAAGAAGCCCCGGCUAACUACGUGCCAGCAGCCGCGGUAAAACGUAGGGGGCCAGCGUUGCUCGGAAUUACUGGGCGUAAAGGGUCCGUAGGCGGUGUGACAAGUCGGUAGUGAAAUCUCUGGGCUUAACUCAGAGGCUGCUGCCGAAACUGUUGUGCUAGAGUGUGAGAGAGGCGAGUGGAAUUACGGGUGUAGCGGUGAAAUGCGUAGAUAUCCGUAGGAACAUCCGAGGCGAAAGCGGCUCGCUGGAUCACAACUGACGCUGAGGGACGAAAGCUAGGGGAGCAAACAGGAUUAGAUACCCCCGUAGUCC
rnacentral:rRNA from 1 species